CCUACGGGUGGCAGCAGUGGGGAAUAUUGCACAAUGGGGGAAACCCUGAUGCAGCGACGCCGCGUGAGUGAAGAAGUAUUUCGGUAUGUAAAGCUCUAUCAGCAGGGAAGAAGAAAGACGGUACCUGACGAAGAAGCCCCGGCUAACUCCGUGCCAGCAGCCGCGGUAAGACGUAGGGGGCAAGCGUUAUCCGGAUUGACGGGGUGUAAAGGGAGCGGAGACGGCUGUGCAAGUCUGAAGUGAAAGCCCAGGGCUCAACCCUGGGACUGCUUUGGAAACUGUGGAGCUAGAGUGCUGGAGAGGUAAGUGGAAUUCCUCGUGUAGCGGUGCAAUGCGUAGAUAUUAGGAGGACCACCAGUGGCGACGGCGGCUUACUGGACAGUACCUGACGUUGAGGCUCGAACGCGUGGGGAGCAAACAGGAUUAGCUCCCCCAGUAGUC
rnacentral:rRNA from 1 species